rnacentral:snRNA from 1 species
GUGCCCGCUCCAGCAGCAUAUAUACUAAAAUUGGAAUGAUACAGAGAUUAGCAUGGCCCCUGCGCAAGGAUGACACACAAAUUCGUGAAGUAAAUAUUAAAUUU